rnacentral:rRNA from 1 species
AUGUUCUGCGCUGUAUAGCUCUCCUACAUCAACAACAUUCGGGCCUCGGUCACCAACGCCUAGAAGGGCAACUAGCCGACGGCUAUCUACUUCGGGCACAUGUGUGCUCUCUCCGAUGAGCUUGCGGUGGUAGGCAAACCGAUCGAGGAGGAUGAGCUGGCGUCGUUCAUCCUCGCGGGGCUUGACAUGGAGUAUCAGCCCAUCAUCUCCGCCUUGGAUGCACAUACUGAUCCAGUCACUGUCGAGAACCUCUUCGCCAUGGUAGCCAAUUUCGACGAGCGCGUCGAGAUGUUCCUUGGGACAUGCGCCGGCAACUUCAAGUCCUCCGCCAUCCUUGCUUCUUGCGACAACUAGGGAUCCAACAAGGGUUCCCGUGGUCAGCAGAAGGGUGGCGGCGGUGGUGGAUCUCGUCCAGGUAGCAGCGGUGGUAGCAGCGGUGGCAGCUACAACAACGGCGGCGAUGACGACUAUAACAAUUCUGGCUACUACCCUAGCGGCUACAACAACAACAAUGGUGGCGGCGGCCACUACGGUGGUGGUGGUGGCGGUGGCCAUUAUCAUCAGGGAAACAACGGCGGCGGCUAGCCUCAUCGACGCAACAACAGUGGGCGCAACAACUUUCAGGGGUAUGAAGGGUAUGAAGGUCGUUGUCAAAUUUGCAAAAAAAAAACUAACCAUCUCGCCAAAGAUUGUGAUUGGUGUUAUGCUGAUGACACAUUCCAAAAGAAAAAAGUUGCUGUUGUAGCUGAUGCAUCGUAUGGUGUCUAUACCAAUUGGUACUUAGACAUGGGUGCAACAAAUCACAUCACCGGAGAACUCGACAAGGUGACGAUGCAAGAAAAAUACAUUGGCCACGAUCAAAUUUACACUGCGGCAAACGGUGUAGGUAUGAAGAUUAGUCAUAUUCGUCAAUCAAUUAUCAAAACUCCACAUAAAAAUCUAGUUCUGAAAGAUAUCUUGCAUGUACCCAAUGCUUCCAAAACUCUUCUUUCCGUCCAUCGUAUUACUCUUGAUAAUAAUGUAUUCCUUGAGUUUCACCCGUUCUUAUUUUUGAUCAAGGAUCAGGCCACGAAGAGAGUUCUCCAUAGGGGUACAUGUGUCCAAGGACUCUAUGAGCUGCUUCCUCAAUAUUGUCAGUUCAACAAACAAGUCUAUGGUGACAUCAAGCUUUCUGCUGAAGGGUGGCACAGUCGUUUAGGUCAUCCCUCGUUUUGCUACUGUACAUCAAAUUUUUAG